rnacentral:rRNA from 1 species
GACGAACGCUGGCGGCGUGCUUAACACAUGCAAGUCGAGCGGAGCGGCGAACGGGUGAGUAACGCGAGUGUAACUGCCCCCCUCUCUGGGAUAACAGUUGGCAACGGCUGCUGAUACCGGAACGUGGGGGAUGACUAGCGGCCUGUCGGCUUGUUGGUGGGGUAGUGGCCUACCACGUCCACGACGGGUAGCCGGCCUGGGAGGGCGACCGGCCAGAUUGGGCUGAGAUACGGCCCGAACUACUACGGGGGGAAGCAGUGGGGAAUAUUGCACAAUGGUGCAAACACUGAUGCAGGAACGCCGCGUGCGGGAUGACGGCCUUCGGGUUGGAAACCGCUUUCAGCCAUGACGCGGUAGUGGCAGAAGAAGCACCGGCUAACUACGUGCCAGCAGCCGCGGUAAUUC